CCCAAAUCUCAUUAUGUCUUUUAUUUUCACUUUUGGCAGUUGCAUCAGACCCUUUUAUCGGUAUUGUUCAUCUUUGGCUUUCACUUUUCUUCCAAUUCUUGGGUUAAGACUUGAGAUGGACGAAUGUGUGAAAAUCAACACAACUAGCAAUCUGGUACAACAAUGCACAAGCUGUUGGAAGAUCUAUCUUGGGUCACUCAACUUUUGGAUUAGAAUUUAGUUUGACAACUCUUUGGGACAAAAUAGCAUCUAGAAUACAAUGCAACAAUGAUGAUUAUGCUAAUCAGGAGUUGUUUUCUCUAACUUCAAUCGAGGAAGGAUAAGGUUCUUCAAUAACGGGAAAUGAAGUCAACCACAACUAGAAGUUUGAAGACAACAAAAUAGUUUGGAGACAUUUUAUGUUAUUUUUUUGGGUUAUACAUCUGUACAAAGAAAAUGGGUUAUAAAUUUAUAAUGUAUACAUCUGUACAAAGAAAAUGGGUUAUAAAUUUAUAAUAUAUACUUUAUAUACUUUAUGUUUUAUUAUC